rnacentral:lncRNA from 1 species
CCAUGGAUUGCAAACCUUGUGCAAGACCAUGUAGCUAUUCUGCAGGAAAGCUGGGCCACAAACUGAAAUUUCCAGCACGCCAGAUUGAGUCAUUUGAAGACGAGAAAAAACACAGUGUUUCAUGAGGAAAUUCAGCUACUUCUUAAAAGAUCAGCAUGUAAGAAUCCAAAAAUAUUGUUGUUGAGGGCAGCUUCUUCAGCAAGCUCUCCUUCCCUGCCUUUUACAAACAGAAGUCCUUCUGUAUGAAAGAUCACAAGGGUAGGCUGCUCAUCUCUGCCCAUUUGAACAGCACAUCCCUUUACUCAUGCAUUUCUGUUUGCCUCAGCCAUGAUGUUCCUGGAUUUCACAAAGAGGGAGUUGUUUCUUGCACAGAGCAGUUCUGUGAGUCAGUGUGAAAAGAACUACCUGCCAUAUCACCUCCCACUAUCUUAGAGAGGAGAGUCAACUUUGAUCAAAGAGAGAGAGGAAGAAAUGAUCAAUCAAGUGUCACUAUGGCAUGCCUGGGUCCAUCAAGUGUCGUUAUUUGUCCCAGAAAAAGUUACUUCCUCCUUCCUGAGACCUAGCUGAGUUGUCACCUUCCUUGUUUGCGAAGAUUCCUGGGAACCCUUAAGGGGAAGACUCAAGAAAAAUAAAGAUACCCAGGGUAAUUCCAAACCAGACUUGAAAGCAGAAACUGAAAGCAGAGAAAACCACUACAUUUAAGAUGGUGGCUUAACGAUAGCAGUGGAAAAGAAACAGCAUGCAUUGGGCAUAGAUAUCACAUUCUUCCAAGAACUUCGUUGGAGGACAGUUUCUCCGUGGGACUCUCACUUUCUGAACAUCUUGCAAUUAGAGACGCUGACUUCUUUUGUUCUGAAAUAUAUUUUCAAGGAUUCUGCAUGGAAAGUAGCCCUGAAAUACACAGAAUGUACCUUCUUUGAGGCACUGACUUCUUUUGCUUUGAAAUAUCUUUUUCAAGGAUUCUGCAUAGAAAGUAGCCUUGAAAGAUACAGAAUUUACCUCCAGCAACAGGGUAGGCAUGCUUACUGUGCAUUGUAAUGGAUUUCAGUUCCCUGGUUUCAGAGUUCUUCUCUUGUCAUGUGGCUCAUGUGCAGGUGUCACCUGGCCUUCUUCACAUCACCCUGUGGAAAAUGGGGCUCAAGGAACUGCCACAAAAAAUUGAUACUCUGCCUAUUGCUGUCAAUCUGAGUAAUAAAAUUCUUUGUUUCCAA